GGCGGUGUGGCGCAGUUGGUUAGAGCAUGCGGUUCAUACCCGCAGUGUCAGUGGUUCGACUCCACUCACCGCCACCA
rnacentral:tRNA from 1 species